UUGUAAUUUGUAGAGGAUGCUUCGGGUUAGGCGGUGGUCUAAUUUGCUUGGAACAGCAAGUCGAAGAGGGUGAGAAUCCCGUCCAGGAUCGUCGGCCGCGCCCGUGUGAAGCUCCUUCGACGAGUCGAGUUGUUUGGGAAUGCAGCUCCAAAUGGGUGGUAAAUUUCAUCUAAAGCUAAAUAUGGGCCGGAGACCGAUAGCGCACAAGUAGAGUGAUCGAAAGAUGAAAAGCACUUUGAAAAGAGAGUUAAACAGUAUGUGAAAUUGUUGAAAGGGAAGCGCUUGCAACCAGACUUGUGACUGACGGUUCCCCCGACCUCCUGGCCGGGCUACUCCGUCACGUCCAGGCCAACAUCGGUUUGGGUGGUCGGUCAAAGACCCCGGGAAUGUAUCUACCUCCGGGUCGACUUAUAGCCCGGGGUGGAAUGCGGCCCACCCGGACCGAGGAACGCGCUCCGGCUCGGAUGUUGGCGUAAUGGUUGUAAGCGGCCCGUCUUGAAACACGGACCAAGGAGUCUAACAUCUAUGCGAGUGUUUGGGUGUGAAACCCCUACGCGGAAUGAAAGUGAACGGAGGUAAGAACCCCGUCAGGGGCGCAUUAUCGACCGAUCCUGAUGUCUUCGGAUGGAUUUGAGUAAGAGCAUAGCUGUUGGGACCCGAAAGAUGGUGAACUAUGCAUGAAUAGGGUGAAGCCAGAGGAAACUCUGGUGGAGGCUCGCAGCGGUUCUGACGUGCAAAUCGAUCGUCAAAUUUGUGCAUAGGGGCGAAAGACUAAUCGAACCAUUACAAGAGGACAAUUGCUCCACGGUCACCAGGUGGUUCUUAACAGUCCUUCGGGGCGACAUCGUCCUUCUGGCGGGGAUCCAGUCACCCGCAGCAGCUUUGGCUGUCCACAGACUAGGAGACGGUGGUCAUCUUAACCGGAAGAUGAUGAUGAUAUAGUCGGUCACGGUGGGAUCUCUUAACCGUGGAUCAACGCUGGUAGCUGGUUCCUGUCGAAGUUUCCCUCAGGAUAGCAGUAACGUUUUCAGUUUUAUGAGGUAAAGCGAAUGAUUAGAGGCCUUGGGGUUGCAACAACCUUAACCUAUUCUCAAACUUUAAAUAUGUAAGAAGUCCUUGUUGCUCAAUUGAACGUGGACAUUUGAAUGUAUCGUUACUAGUGGGCCAUUUUUGGUAAGCAGAACUGGCGAUGCGGGAUGAACCGAACGUGAGGUUAAGGUGCCGGAAUGCACGCUCAUCAGACACCACAAAAGGUGUCAAUGCAUCCAGACAGCCGGACGGUGGCCAUGGAAGUCGGAAUCCGCUUAGGAGUGUGUAACAACUCACCGGCCGAAUGCAUUGGCCCUGAAAAUGGAUGGCGCUUAAGCGUGCUACCUAUACCUCGCCGUUGGGGUUGAAAUGAGGCCCCAACGAGUAGGCAGGCGUGGGGGUUGGUGACGAAGCU
rnacentral:rRNA from 1 species